rnacentral:rRNA from 1 species
UACGAAGGGGGCUAGCGUUGCUCGGAAUCACUGGGCGUAAAGCGCACGUAGGCGGCUUUCUAAGUCAGGGGUGAAAUCCUGGAGCUCAACUCCAGAACUGCCUUUGAUGCUGGAGAGCUUGAGUCCGGAAGAGGUGAGUGGAACUCCGAAUGUAGAGGUGAAAUUCGUAGAUAUUCGGAAGAACACCAGUGGCGAAGGCGGCUCACUGGUCCGGUACUGACGCUGAGGUGCGAAAGCGUGGGGAGCAAACAGG